ACAAGAAGCUUGUCCAAGUGGAUGGGGUUGUCCCCAUGACCUCAGGGUCAGACGUUCAACCCCCAACGCGCCCCUUUGUGUUUUUUUGCUUCUCAUUUUCUUUACUUUUCUUUAUUUUCCACUUACUUUUAUCCAUUUUCACUUAUUUUUUUUUUACUAUUUAUUUUUAUUCUAUUGAAAAUAUUCUAACAUAAACUCAUAUUAUUUUUGUCUCUACUAUUUUAUUAUGCUUCAUUUUAUUUCAUUUAAGAAAUUUUUGAGGGACUUAUGAG
rnacentral:lncRNA from 1 species